GUACGAACCAUUGGUCUACCUAGCUCAGGCCUGUCUACACAGAGUAGCAGUGGCUCUCCAGGAUUUCAGACAGGGGUCUGCCCCAGCUCCACCUGUGUGCUAAGCAGAUGCUCUACCAUUGGGUUUUACGGAAUCUUCAAAGAAAAGGUACACAGAGUAAUUGUCAAAACAUUACAGGCAACAGAAGGUUGGCUGCUAUCGGGGGCAAUAGCUUCAUUGAUGCAUGGGAAACUGAGGUGGGGUUCCAGAAACCUGCAAAAGGGCAACAAACUACAAGAAGGACGCAGCUGGAGAGAAUGAUUCCUAGUUUCAGUUUUCUCUACUGAAAGGCACAGGGUAUGGGAAACAAGCAAGAUGAAUUGGAGCUUUUAAUACAGGAUGGCAAAUAAGACAUAUGACCUAGAAGGCGAGUAGGCAUUGCCUCAGGGUUCAAGAUUUCUUUAACAGAUUGGAGGAUUGGGUUAACAAAUGAAUUUGAAUAGGGACAAAUGUAAGGUACUGCACUUAGGCAGCAAGUACCAACUUCACAAAUAUAAGUUGAAGGACACCUGGCUUACUAGGAUCUCGCCAUCUUAAUGAAAUUCAAGCUUCACUUGAGUGAACAGUGCGGUGCAGUUUUUGCUGUAUGUGUAUUUAAAACAAAUUCUUUAUUGGUUUAAUUCAAUUUGCCUGUAAGCUGCCUUGUUGCUCCCUAGCACAGAAAGACAGGGAACCUAAGUUUCUUUAAACAGAUUGACCAAAAAUGGUACACAGCAAAACGCUUUGGUGUCCAACUCUCAUUGCAGUGUUGUACCAAAAUACUAUCAGCAAAUUCUGGCCUUGGUGUUUGCAGUCAAGGAAAUCAACAAGAAUUCCAAUAUAUUACCUAAUGUCACAUUAGGAUUCCACAUUUUUGAUAGUUACUUCAGUGAAAGGAUGACCUACUGGGCCACUUUGGAGCUGCUCUCUACACACUACAGAUUCGUACCCAACUACCAGUGUGACAAACAGAAAAAUCUGAGCGCAGUCAUUGGGGGACUUGACUUUGAGAUUUCCCUCCACAUGGCAGCCAUCUUAGGUGUCUACAAGAUUCCCCAGGUAAGAGUCAAACAUGGUGACUCAUUCUUCUUUCCUCUGUCCUGUUGAGAAAAGUUUUGCAUUCCAUCAUAGCCCUCUUGACAAUUUCAAAUUGUAUUCAAUAAAAGCUUUCAUCCGUCUUCAUCCAUUUCCCAACGUGUGCAUGUUCUUCAGAGGGUAGGAAUGGAACAUUUUGCAGAUACAGUUGUACACACCUGCUCUAUGUUUGUGAACAGCUUGAUCUGCCAGCCUCAGGUAGACUCCAACCAGGAUGAAUUACGGAGGCUGCUCAUCAGUCACUUGUACAUUACCUUAAUUAAUUUGACCUGGACAAUUUGGGGCUGUCAGGGGUGCCAACAGGUCACUGGUUAUCUACCUAGUGAAAUCAGAGGAGCAGAGAGAGCUUUUCAAUGGUUUCAUUUUAAUCCACAGGAAGACAGAAAGACGUGAAAGUAUGCUCUCACCCUUGAGCUAAUAUUGCUCAGAUUGCAACUCCACCAUGCACCGACAAUUUCUUCCUAGAAAUCAGAUGCCUCCUGGUGCCUAUGGUGGCUGCUAAGAACAAUUCUCUUUUGGGUUCUGCAGAGCGUGUCUUGACCUUGUGGAAGGAGGGGGCUCUGACAAACUCUCUUGAGAGAGAAUGUCACUUGGCUGCUGUACUGUUUCUAAGAAAUCUGACUCCUGUCUUUGUUCAUUGCUAACUUGCUCUGGUUCAUCAUCACUUAUUAUUUCCCAGGUGCUUUUUCCUUCUCAGGUGUGACCUGUCUCAAACCACCACACCAUACUCUCCCCCCUUCCUUCUUUCUGGAAGGUUCUUAGGGUGCUGCUCUCCACCACUCCUCCUCAUCUCCCCAUUUCCUGACGGGCUUACUGAGACAGCAGGUCCAAAGCACAAUGGUUUCGUCAUUGCAAUCCACACAUAACCAAUGUUUCUACUGCAUUAAUGGGAAUUAAGUGUCCGUUUCCUUCUAGCUCACUUAUGGCUCCUUUGCCCCAGAGGAUGCUGGUCGAAGCCAAUCCACUCCCUUCUACCGGAUGGUGCCCAAUGAAGCCCAUCAGUACACUGGGAUUGUUGAGUUACUUCUGCACUUUGGAUGGACGUGGGUUGGGUUGCUCGCUGCGGAUAGUGAGAGUGGAGAGAAAUUUAUGAAAAUCCUGCAAACUCUGCUUUUUCAGAGAGGUAUUUGCUUGGCCUUUUCAGAGAGAACUCCAAAAGGCACAUAUUUUGAAGAGUAUUAUCACAUGAUUCCCCAGUGGCUCCAAGCCUAUCUUGCUAUUGCGGAAAGCAAAGCCAAUGCUGUCAUUGUCUAUGGAGAAGCCAAGUCCAUGUUUUUUUUGCAACUAUGGCUAGCGGCAGGGGGUGCAGAAAAUGUGACAUCUAUGGAGAAGUUAUGGAUUAUGACUGCUCAACUGGAUUUCUCAGCAGUGGCCUUUCAAAUGAGCCAGGCUAUGCAACCAUUUCAUGGCUCCAUCUGCUUCACAGUGCACUCAAAGGAGGUGCAAGGAUUCAAGACCCUUCUUCGCUCCCUCAAUCCUUUCAUGGCAGGUGAAGAUGGUUUUCUUCAGCAGUUCUGGCUGCAGACAUUCUAUUGUUUCUUUUCAAAAUCCAGUACUGAGUUCAGUGAACCCUGCACUGGACAGGAGAAGCUGGACAGCCUCCCUCGUCUGGCUUUGAGAUGAGCAUGACUGGCCACAGCUACAGCAUCUACAAUGCUGUCUAUGUUCUGGCACAUGCCCUACAUGAUGCCAUGUACAGAUCCAGGGCAAAAGACAGAGGAAUUGUGAGAAGAUGGAGACCGCAGCUUCAGAAAUUGCAGCCUUGGCAGGUAAUGGCUCUUUUGUUGUUGUAUAUCUUUUAAUUAUUAUUUCAUUUUAUAUUGUUGAUAAAGCAAAGAUAACGCAAUUUUAACAACAGACAAAAAUUGAAAGAUGAAUAACCAAACUGUAAAAUAGGCAGGUAGGGUGUGUAGUUGCACGUGAGUUAAAUAAAGACUUUAAAGUCCAAAUUAAGUCCAAUUGUAUCAGAUCACCAAGCACAGUUCCAGAUUUGCCAGGUUUUGGGGGAGGGGGUUGUUUUGAAAACGUUGGUUCUGCUGUAUAUGCCAAAUCAUAUGAAACUUGUCUAGUCGUCAAAAUCUCAAAUUAUUUGUGAUUAUCUUUGCUAUAGCUAUAUUCCAGAGUGAGUGGUACAAAGUGUCCAGCAUCAGAUUUUUGGGCUGUGUUCUAUUGAGUUGCCAUUACUAUGAAUGCUGCCACUUUAAUCUUGCCAAUUUUUUGGCAACAUAUUUACAAUGGUAUCAUCAGAAAUACACAGUGACAUUCAUUUUGGACAACAAACCAUCUUUUUAUAGUAAUAUUUAUCAUUUCUGAGAAAAUCGGAUACAACCCACUCACCUGAGCUUCAGCUCUUCAAAACAGCUAGGUGUGAUAUUGUCAAUGGCAAUUUCUAUCUCAACUAGAGUCUUAAGAGGGACACCUGUUUUGCCUGUUCCUCCCUCAGUCUAACCCUCCCCCCAUUUUUCUGUUCUUUCAUUUAUACCCUUUCUGCAUUGAACUUCAUGGAUGUUUGCAUGAUGAUUUUGGAAGUCCUGUUUAAGCUUUGAAAUACAUAUACAGUGUGGCUUAGUCCUAUACGGAGGAAUCUACAGAGGAAAGAGAGAUUAAAUUUUACUGUUAUUAUUGCUAUUGUUAUUAAUUUGUGAUUAUAUGAAAUCUUGUCUACUGCCAUGGAGGAGGCAAUGGCACUUUAAAAGGCGAUGCUGAACAUAAGAUAAGGUUGAGUUUUAAACAAUUGUCCUUUUCCUGCCAUCUCAAUGCAGCUCCACCCAUUUCUUAGGAGUGUCUCAUUUAACAACAGUGCGGGAGAAGAAGUGUCUUUUAGUGAGAACAGGGAAUCAGAAGCUGGGUUCGAUAUUACCAACUUGGUCACUUUCCCAAAUAACUCCUUCAUCAGAAUGAAGGUUGGAUGGAUGAAUUUGGAUGCUCCCCCAGGAAAAGAGUUUUCCAUCAAUGAAGACAAAAUGGUGUGGCACAGGAGUUUUCACCAGGUGGGGCAUGAUUUCAGGAAAUUGCAACUCCAGUGUGUCCUAAAUGUGAUGUUUGCAUCUCGGAAGCCUAGCGGAGACAUGGAUCCUGUAUUUUUUCUCUCUUGUUGUUUAUGAAAACCUCUAUGAAUGUUGUGGGGCUCUGAUGCCUUGAAGCAGGCCAGGACAUAGUUCAUUAUUAUAUGCUUGUUUGUUUAUUGCAUUUUUAGUCCACCUUUCCUUUGCUUGCUUCCCAUUUUAUCCUAACAACCAACAACCCUGUAAGGUAGUGUAGACUGAGAGCAGCAGUGACUGGUCCAAGGUCACCCAAUGAGUUUCAUGGCCAAGUGGGGAUUUGAAUCCUGGUCUUCCACUUCCCUGUCUAGCACAUUCUUUAAAGAUUUCUAGGCCAGCAGAGUGUGACCUAAGCCUAACCUCCAACCAACUUCUCUGGGGAGAAAGAAAAGGGAGCUGAGCCUGGAGACAGAUGAGGCAGACUUCUGCAGAGAAUGCCUGGUUUGGAGGCUAGUAAUUCUCAAGAUAUAGUAGCAGAGGUCUGGCAGAGUCCAGCACUAUCCUUGUUUUUGAGGCUGCUUAAGUUGUGGAAUGUGUGUGGCGCUGUUGCCUAAACCACAGAGCCUAGGGCUGGCCGAUCAGAAGGUUGUUGGUUCGAAUCCCAGUGACAGGGUGAGCUCCCAUUGUUCGGUCCCUGCUCCUGCCAACCUAGCAGUUCAAAAGCAUGCCAAAGUGCAAGUAGAUAAAUAGGUAAUGCUCCAGCGGGAAGGUAAACAGCAUUUCCAAGCGCUGCUUUGGUUUGCCAGAAGCGGCUUAGUCAUGCUGGCCACAUGACCCAGAAGCUGUACGCCGGCUCCCUCGGCCAUUUCUCCCAUCCACUUGAUCCCUUGCAGCCCAGAAAAUGGAGUUCAGGGCCUCCAAAUGUCCAUUACUCCCCCUGUGCUAAACAUUUCCUUACGGUUAAUUAAAAUUCACAGGUACCACCCCUCUCUCAAUGCAACAAAAAUUGCCCUUCUGGUACUAGGAGAAAAAAGAAGGAAGGGGAGAAAUUCUGCUGCUAUGACUGUGCUCCAUGUUCAGAAGGCAAGAUUUCAUACCAGAAAGGUAGGAGACAUUAGGUAGCUUUCAGAUAACUCAGAUUUCCUGUGAAGGGUCUGUGGCAGAGUGAAAGGUGUCACAGUUGUUGCUAUUGAUGUAGUUCUGAUUUCCAUGGUGAUUGAAGUUCACAGACUUGGAGCUCUUCAUUGCAACCAGCUGAUGGCCCAGCAUCGGGGCCAAACAUUUGCAAAGAGGUGCUUUGCAAGCCCAAAUGAUCAGAUGAUGGUUGGGGUUUGCAAAGCACACUGUUACCUGCCCUACACCUAACAUCAGAGAUGACAUCAGAUAUAGGGCCAGUAGGUGUAACUUGCUAAAAUGGCCCCAUGGGUCAGAGGUUUUCUAACUGGAUUACCUGGGUGGUGAUGGAGAUGAGUUGCACUGGUACGCCUGCAGAGCACAGGCCUCCUGCUGUCCAGACCCACCCCCUUACUGUCCAGGCAAGAGACUGUGAUAUCAUUGUCUGGGGGAGGGGGGUCCAAAGCUCUUUCUCCCAAUGCUAGUCACUCCUGUGUCUGAAAAGGAUUGUCUCUUGCACAUCCAACUGGUAAGUCCCAUACUGCCAGGAGGAUGCAUACCUACUCUCAACUUGCACCCUUAAAGGGAAUCCUUUCUUCUUUUCAGACAUGAAUGACUGUGUCGGAUGCUCAGAAGAUCACUAUCCAAACAGGAACCGAACACAAUGCAUUCCAAAGUUCAUCAGCUUCUUGACUUUGGAAGAACCGCUUGGGAUGAGCUUAGCUUUUGGCUCCGUAUUCUCCUCUUUGCUCACCAUCUUGUCCCUCGCCAUCUUUAUGAAGCAUCAGGACACACCGAUUGUCAGGGCCAAUAAUCGGGACCUCACCUACGUUCUCCUCCUGUCUCUCCUUCUCUGUUUUCUCUGUCCCCUCAUCUUCCUCAGCCGACCAGACAGAGUGACCUGCCUUGUCCGACAAAUGGCUUUUAGUGUGGUUUUCACGGUGACUGUUUCUUGUGUGUUGGC